GGGUUGUGAGGUUAAGCGACUAAGCGUACACGGUGGAUGCCCUGGCAGUCAGAGGCGAUGAAGGGCGUGCUAAUCUGCGAUAAGCGCCGGUAAGGUGAUAUGAACCGUUAUAACCGGCGAUACCCGAAUGGGGAAACCCAGUGUGACUCGUCACACUAUCAUUAACUGAAUCCAUAGGUUAAUGAGGCGAACCGGGGGAACUGAAACAUCUAAGUACCCCGAGGAAAAGAAAUCAACCGAGAUUCCCCCAGUAGCGGCGAGCGAACGGGGAGGAGCCCAGAGCCUGAAUCAGCAUGUGUGUUAGUGGAAGCGUCUGGAAAGGCGCGCGAUACAGGGUGACAGCCCCGUACACAAAAGCGCAUAUGCUGUGAGCUCGAUGAGUAGGGCGGGACACGUGGUAUCCUGUCUGAAUAUGGGGGGACCAUCCUCCAAGGCUAAAUACUCCUGACUGACCGAUAGUGAACCAGUACCGUGAGGGAAAGGCGAAAAGAACCCCGGCGAGGGGAGUGAAAAAGAACCUGAAACCGUGUACGUACAAGCAGUGGGAGCCCCACCACCAAAGCAUUCUCUGGUGUUGAAGGCCCUGCAAAGCAGCAUCGCGGUGGCGGAGCGUCGUUUGCGACGCCCAACACACAAAACAAGCGGUGAGUGCUUUGGGGUGGGGUGACUGCGUACCUUUUGUAUAAUGGGUCAGCGACUUAUAUUCUGUAGCAAGGUUAACCGUAUAGGGGAGCCG
rnacentral:rRNA from 1 species